GCUGGGUGUGGUCGUGCGUGCUUGUAGUCCCAUCUACUUGGGAGGCUGAGGUGGGAGAAUUGCUUGAGCCCAGGAGGUCAAGGCUGCAGUGAACCAUGAUUGUACCACUGCACUCCAGCCUGGGCGACAGAGCAAGACCCUGUCUCAA
ensembl:misc_RNA Metazoa_SRP Metazoan signal recognition particle RNA